rnacentral:lncRNA from 1 species
GGCGUGGGAGGCGCGCCCCCUCCCACCACGCCCCAGUGGGCGGACAACCCGUUCCCGAGCCAGGGAGGGGGCGGGGAAGGUGUGGAAAGUUCCAGAAGGUUAGGAGGGACACGGCGAGUAGGGAGGCCGGCGAGAAAAAAGAAGCAAAUAGGAGAGGAGAGGAGAGGAGGGCGGGGGAGGGGAGCGCGGGAAGCGGGGCCCGGCCGGGCGCAUUACCGCUCUGUGGCAGGAGGGGGCGCCCUUCCGGCCCGCACAGCCUCUGGGCAGAGCCCGCCUCCCAGCGCCUCCCAGCGCCUCCCAGCGCCUCCCAGCGCCUCCCAGCGCCUCCCAGCGCCUCCCGGCCCCGGCUCAGGGCAGCUGGGCGCCCCCUCCUGGCGGCUGCGCGGCCGCUCCCCGCCGGCCUCGCUCGGGUGCUCGGGUGCAGCCGGCGCUCGGCCUGCGGCGCGGGGAGGAAGGUCGGGGUCAGAGGGGGCGGGGCGCUGUGAGGGCGGUCAGGCUCGCCCCCCGUUCCGCACCCCCGACUCGGCUGCCUCACCUGGGCCUGCGGGGCUCGGCCCCCGCGCGCCCCGCGGCCGCCCCGCCCGGAGCCUGCCCCUCGUGCACGGCGCUCGGUGCCCGUCGCGGCCGCAGCAGCUGGGGGGAGGGAGGGCGAGGCCGCCGGCUGCUCUGGGCGGCGUCUGGGGGCCCCGAGCCCCACGCGAGGAGCAGCCAUCUGGAGCCUCGGCUGCGGGCGGGGUGAGGCUCGGCCUUUGCAAAGGGGCAAAGGACGGGGGUCUGCGGGCGGGAGUGUGUGUGGCGGAGGGUCGGGGGUGUGGCUCUUGCCGAGCAGCGGCAGGGGCCUGCCCCAGGCGAGCCCGCAGUUCCGGGGGCAGCUCCGACCCGCAGGGGCCUACCGGGCAACCCCUUCGUCGCCCCUGGGGAUGGGAGUGCGGCGAGCCGGGCAGGGGGGCGGGGUGGGGGCGGGGCGGGGGUGCUGGGGCGGGGGCGGGGCGGGGGCCCAACACCCGAGCGCUCGCCCGCUUUCGGUGA